rnacentral:rRNA from 1 species
UACCAGCUCUCCGAGUGGUAGGGAUGAUUAUUGGGCUUAAAGCGUCCGUAGCCGGCUUAGCAAGUCUCCUGUUAAAUUCAGCGACCUAAUCGUUGAGCCGCGGGAGAUACUACUGGGCUAGGAGGCGGGAGAGGUCGACGGUACUUCUGGGGUAGGGGUGAAAUCCUAUAAUCCCGGGAGGACCACCAGUGGCGAGGGCUGUCGACUAGAACGCGCUCGACGGUGAGGGACGAAAGCUGGGGUAGCGAACCGGAUUAGAUACCCGGGUAGUCCCAGCUGUAAACUAUGCGGGCUAGGUGUUGGGGUGGCUACGGGCCACUUCAGUGCCGCAGGAAAGCCAUUAAGCCCGCCGCCUGGGGAGUACGGCCGCAAGGCUGAAACUUAAAGGAAUCGGCGGGGGAGCACCACAAGGCGUGAAGCUUGCGGUUC